GCUGGUGUGCAAGGGAGUCUGGCUCAGAAAGAUCAAAUUUCCUUAAGAAUGAGGUCUUCCUAUGCUUUCAGUAUUUCAAUAGCUUUUUUUCAGGUUAUUCUGACAAAUAAAAAAUCUGCAAGAAAAAAUUGAUUGUAGAUAUGAGCAGGUUCUAAGCUAAAUUAAUCUGUACUAUGCAUUUAAUGGUAACUCAGAGAAUGUGUAGAACGUCCCAGGUGAGUGCUGGAGGUGUGGCAGGGUGGGACGAGGCUGAUAACUUGAGGUUGUUUGAAGAAAGAAAAAAAUUAGUUCACUACUUAACAGUGCUGUAACAAACUGGGCCACAGGAUUCUAUCGCAGGUAUUUAAAACAACGCGAUGGAUCGAGAGUACUACAAGUCUCAUACAAUGUCCUGGGGUACCCUUGGAACUGUGCGACCUUUCUCCGGUUUCCAACCACAAAGAGAUGUCAUUCAAAUCCAAAAAGCAAUGGAGAAGAAAGAUGCUGCCCCUCUUGUCCGAAUCCUAACAAAUCGCAAUAAUGCUCAAAGGCAGCAUAUUGCCAAAAUAUACAAAGACACAACACAACAGAACCUAAUAGCUGGCCUGAAAAAAGUUCUGUCUGGAGAUCUGGAAGCUCUCAUGUUGGAAUUGAUGAUGCCUCCCUCGCAGCAUGAGGCUUAUCGCCUACAACAGGCCAUGGCUGGUUUAGGCACAGACGAGGAAACACUUCUGGAGAUUAUGUGUACAAGAUCAGGCAAAGAACUUCGAGACAUCAGUGCUGCAUAUAAAGAAAGUUACUGCUUCAUUUAUUUUUCAGUGUAUAAAAAGGACCUGGAGAAGGAAGCCAAAGGAGAAACCAGUGGAGACUUUGCUAAACUCAUAGUAGCUCUGAUCAAUAAAGAAGAUGUCACAGGUUUUGUUCAAAAGGACAUUGAGUCUCUUUUGGCAUCACUAAACAAGAAAAAAGCUGAUGCAGCUCCUUGGAUUGAUAUUCUCACAUCGAGAGACUUAACUCACCUUAACAAAGUUCUGAUGGGACUGGAACUGGAAAGUGGACACAUGAUGAUUCCAGCUCUGGAGAAAAUAUUCUCCGGGGAUAUUCGUCUGGGUUUGACUGUUCUAGUGGAGUGCAUUCAAAACCCUGAUGCGUACCUUGCCAAAAGAUUAACCAGCAUGAAGGCACCAAUAGUGCAAGGCAUAAUGGUGUCCCACAGUGAGAAAGAUCUACUCAGUAUCAGAGUGGCGUUUCUUAAAAUGACAGGAACUUCUCUCUACACGACCCUGCAGGUGGGGUCAAAGGACCUGGUUCCUGCAACAUGGAUCAACUGAUGAAGAUGCUCACCAGGACCGGAGCAGGGCCGCAUGCUGCAACACUUUUGCUUUCUGGUUUAUUCUACGAGGCAACCUGAGAAGUCCAGUGUGAUGAUGUUGUGCACCAUGUGCGUGAUAUCUGUGAUAUCAGAUAGGUGGGUUCACACGUGGCCACCUUGUGGUACAAUGUGACAUUGCACAUCAGCAGGUGCACUACAUGGUUGUUUCCAUUUUGCCCAGGGAGGCCAGAUUCGUCACAUCCUUUAACUCCCGUCAAUUGGAUUAAGAAGCUCUCUUGCGGGACAACAAUGACUUGACAUGCGCAGUAAACCAAUCAGAGCAACAAUCCUCCCCCCCCCCCCGUCGGCGCCCCGUUUCAACCGCACCAAUUUAUGACUUCCAGGUUGGGGAGAAGCCAAGAGCUAUCCAUUCAGUCCACAACAAUCCAUAGCCAAUCUGAUUGUGGGGCGCUCGCUCUCAUCCAUCUAUCACUGCAUUUGGAACGCAUGAGCCAACACCUGUUCAGUAAGUGAUGAGUCAACAGCGUGACGGGAAAGCAAGAUCAUGUCAAACGGGAUGUUUACACGAUGGAUGCCUUCGAGCGGCGUUACUGGACCGUAUGUGGGAUAUAUUGGGGGCUUGUUGAGGGGGGUCUGCUAAAAAUAUCCACUUCAUAAUCAUAACAUGGCAUGCAAAGUAUGACAUGGGUGGAGUAUGGCGGGUAAAUUUCGAUAAUCAUUUUGAAGAUCCGCAGUGGAAAACGUAUUUAUUACUGCAACCAGCCACCACUCUCCAUUUACUUCAAUUGCUUCAAGUCAUCUACAAUCAAUUGCAUAUGAUCUAGUAAACUUGGAAUGAUCUUUUAAAUCUAAUUAAAUUUUAUUCUUAGUUUUUUUUACUCAAAUUAAUGUAGUGCUUAAUAGCUGUGAUUGGCAUAUUAUUUAUUGUUAAAUUCUUGCUGCAUGUAAAACAGGUUUUUAUCAAACUUGUGAGACCUGGAAGUCAACCUGUGCACAAAAAUAUCUUAUUUCAAGUUUUUUGUUUGUUUGAUUCCACAUCGCCGCGCCAUAAAAAUCUGCUUAGCUUUUGAUAGAUGAUGGUCAGUCUGGGAAUAAAGAGCUACAACCUC